rnacentral:lncRNA from 1 species
AAAUGUUGGUUUAUUUUUCAGUCCAGCUCAAGAAGCACAGAAAAUCUUCAAAGCUAAUUAUCCUAUGGAUCCAGAAGUCACCAAAACUAAGUUAAUAGGUUUUGGAAUGCAAUAUCUGCCUGGAAUUGAUCCUAAUCCUGAAAACAGUGUGUGUGCAGGAAUCAUCCACACUCGUUCUUUACAAGUAGGCUGUUUGCUGAGAUUAGAACCGAACUCACAUGCUCAGAUGUACCGACUUACUAUGAGAUCUAGUAAAGAUUCAGUAUCCAAGGAACUGUGUGAACUGUUAUAUGACCAGUUCUGACCUCCCUAUUAGAUAGUCAGCAUCUUUUUGUUCAUCACCAGCAUGACUUGCCUGUAGAGAAGACAGGAAUCAGCAGUCAGAGCUGGGAAGAGCUUCAUUUCUUGCCAGCUGGUACUGCAUGGAAUUACCAUUUCAUGUUGUGUAGAUGUUUUUCACAGUUUUCCACCAAUUUUUGUCUGCCCUUCUAGAUACCCGUGGAGAAAAUGGACCACAAAAUGGAUGUCAUUAGCAUGUUUUGUCUAGGAUAUUAGAAACGUUUUAAAAAUCCAUUAGUGAUUAUAUUAUUCUCUUAAGUGUUAUAAGAAAACUGUGGACAUAAUUUAGAAAAAAGCUUUCAAAGAUUUGAGUUCUUGGUCUGUAACAUGUGUGUUUACUUUCUCCUGUCUUUAUGUAUCUUGUCAGUGUCAAACUUGUAACUAAAGGCAAAAGAAAAAAAAUUCAUUUAGAAAUUAAUUUUCAGUUGUUGUAUCUCCAGUCAGCACAGAUUGUGAACUUUCUUCUUUUGUGUUUUACUUGUUUAUUCUUGGCUUAAACGAACUUCUAAUUAUUAUCAAAGCUUUUGGUUUUGUUGGCAAACUGUUUAGGAGAGUUUGUAUGUGACUAUUAGGUUUUGUUUUAAAUAUCUGUUAUUAAAUACACACAAAUGAACACUCAUUAUAGAAGGUAAAGGUCAGAUGUUGACAUAAUAGUCGUGUACCACAUUCAUUUUUGUGGUGCAUUUUUUUCUUGUCAAUAAUUAUUCUGGACUGUCAUCGUACCUAAAAUAAUCACUAUGUUUUUUUCCUUUUAUGUAAUGUAUUAUAACCAAGGUUUAUUAGCUUGUUAAUGUAUGUAUUUGUAUAUUAAUAGUAAACAUUCCAUGUGCAAUUUCUGUUGACAUUAUAACAUUAAAAGUAGAUAAUAUACUUUGAGUUAAUGAGCUUUUGUUUUGUUGUUAAACAUUAAAAAUUACAUUAAUAUGUCUAAUCAUAUGUAGAACAUGAAAAUGGUUGCUUUUCUUGUUAGGAAUUGACCAGGUGUUUUAAGAUUAAAAAUCAUUGAUUACAUAUUAGAUAUCAUAGUACUGUGUAAUGUUAUCUGUACUUUCGUAUUUGAUGGAAGUUACUUUGUCAGUAUAAAAAUUGUUUUUGUGAUGUUAAAAACUUAGACUGAUUGAUUUUUUAAUAAUUCAAACUAGCCCUGGUAUAAGUUGAACAAUUUAAUGAAAAUUUUGUAUAUAUUUAGUAAUUAAUGUAUGAGUAACGAAUUUCUCCCCAUGAAUUGUUAUAUUUGUUUUUGAACAGUGUAACAAAUGUUGUAGAAGUAAAAGGCCACAUUUUAUGUUGUGUCCUUUAAUUUAAAAAAUAUCUAAUAAAAUUUCCAAUUUUCAAACAGUUAGGAGUUUGAAAUACGUAUUACUGUUCACUAAGUCAUCAAAUAUUGGUAUUAUUGUGCUUCUCUCAGAGAAAGUACAUUUAAUUUUCCAUCUUUAUAUUAAACUUGGUUAAAAUUGUCACAACUUGCCAUUAAGAAUGUUACCACAAAAGAUUUUAUUUUUGUGCUCAUUCUCUAAGAUUUGAUUAUAUUGAUAAUUGAGAUUUUCCUUUAUUUCCAUUUCGAGUAUAUUAAAUAUAUGCUUCUUUAAAAACAAAACAUAGAAAUAUAUGUUUAGAAGAACCACACAUGUUCUGACCAUGAAUUUAAAGUCAUUUUCCAGUGUGUUGUGAAAGUCUAGUGGAAUAAGGUGUAUAAUUGAAAACUAUGGAACUUACCUCAAGUUAAUAUUGAUGUUUAUUAAACUAAAGUUUCCUACUGUAAUAUGUAGGUAGCUUUUCUUCAUCAGAACUUAAUGAUAGAUUUACUGCUGCACACCAAAAGUAUUUUAAUGGUGCAAGCACAUUUUCAGGUGAAUAUCCUUAUUAAACUAGACUUUACUGUUAUAAAUUAUAACAAUAGGUACAGCUAUACCUGCAAUGUAGGUAUGAUAACUUUUUAAAACUACACAUUACUGGUAAAAUCUGCAAUUACACAAACACUUAGUUAAAAACCUUUAUGACUUGCUUUAAAUAAUUAAGAACUUAUGCUACCUAGAAGUAAUUAUUGUUAAUAAAAUAGAUUGACUGUAAAUAUUUCCUUAUUGGUGUAAUUAGAUCAUCUUAUGAGGUUGCCACAUUUUUAUCAGUUAUAAAAUUUAAUAAAUUUCUGUCAGCCAUUUAUUCUUGGAUCAAUGAGUUUGACAUGAAAAAUGUUAUAAUUUGUAUCGGGAAGAAAGGAAAAGUUAAGAUUUCUGUUGAAAAUGACGCAAAAAUAAUUAGUGUAUGUAAUUCUAUAUCACAUUGUGUAUUAUAGUAUAAAAGUUGUUUUAUGUUCUUUCCAAACUGUUUACUCUUACUCACUCCUCUUUUAGUUUUGAAAGGUUUGUAAUUGUGGUAAACAGAUGAAAAUAGAGUUGUUUAAAAUCACAUUGAUAUGAGAGUAAACAUUUGAUUAGUUGGUGUUAAUUUUUCUCCAGGAUUUAACUUUUCUGAUAACUGCAGUACUUGUUGAUGUUUACAUAUUAUAUCUGUCUAGGGAUGGGACAAGUAUCCAUUUCGUCAGAUUUUGCCGUAGCCGGUGAAAUCUGAUCCGAUUCUAUGUUAAUUUUAUAGUGAAUUGGAUAAUCAGAUAGCAUUUCCAUCAGCAAUUAUCUCACAAUAUUCUACAGAAAUGAUAUUAUUUGCAUUGUCCCCCAGUGGGAAGUCGGAUAGUUUUAUAAAAACUAAAAUUCGAGUUUCGGUAUCUGCAGUGGGCAGAGCAUGGAUAGCCCAUUAUGCAGCUUUGUGCUUAACAACAAAUAAACGAACCUACCAGUAUGUGCAUCACAUGUAAUAGCUUUGCAUCAUGUAAGUCUACAGGUGUUUUCUACCAGCUUAUAAGCAUAGUAGCAUUUUCUUGGGUAUUAAAAAGUGGGAGUCCUGAUGGUUAUAAUACAGAUAGUCAUUAUGUAGUUUAAAUAAUCAUGCCUACCCAUUGUGUUGCCCUGUGUGAUGCUGGUGGUUAUGGUAGUGAAACAACAUUUGCAAGUACAAUUCAAACAACAGUCUCAGCAGCAGCUUGGGGAGUGGAGAAGACUAAAACAUGUAUACUAUUACUGCUGCAUUUCCUUAAAGGGCAUGCAGUAACCACUGAUUUGUAUGGAAUUGUAUAACUUUAUUAAAUUUUAAAAAGACGAUGAAGUAACGAUUUUAAUACAAUACCAAAAUUAUGUGGUGGCAUACACCUGCAGCACAUUUUCAGUGUGUAUGGCCACAGCUACUAUUUGUCCCAUCCCUACUUCUGUCAGUGUUUUUACACUUAUUGUCACUUGUGAUCUUCACCAGUAUUGAUGUAAGAAGUCACAUCCACAUCGGUUUAGGUCUGGCUGUUGUAGAGUUUAUCUUUGUGGAAGUAAAGUACGUUUUGGUGAAGCAAUAAAUAUUGAAAGAAGUAAG